ACUCCAGUGACUGCCUCUCAGAAAAGAACAGGGCAAUGUCCAUUCUCCUUUUAUUUUCUUUAAGCACCUGAUCAUUCUAAAAGCAUGUGUUCCUCCGUGUGUGUGAGUUGUGUACACGUGUGUGUGUGUUCCUUUCUUUUCUCGGACUCCAGGCUCAUGACUGCUUAUUUGCAUGGUGUUUUGGUGUCAAAGGAGUGUUGAAUGUGUUCUCCACACACCCAGCUUUAUUCCACUCUAGGAGUUUAACUUCUUCAGCAUUGUUAUGAGGUCCCCGGUGACCUCAGUUUCUCCUCUCCGCGUCAUCCAGGACUUCACCUGAAGCUUGAGCUACACGUAAGACUUCAUCUACCUUGCACAGGGCAAUGGAGAGAGGAUGGCAUACCAGAAUCACCAGAUGACAGACAUCGGGGUGCUGUCGGACCCGGGAAUCAGAACCUCUGCAGAUAGAUAUUUUGGAAGGCGCUCCCUAGAUUGGCACCUCUGAUUCCUGCAAGUAGACUGACAGCUGCAUGUUUGCAGGAAAGUUAAAUAUUUUGACAGCGCAGAAGACUGCUGCAUCUGGAGGGUUCUGGGUCCAGCUAUAACCAGACUUGCCUGUCCUAAACAAAUGGAUUGACUGCUUCCGGCAUCCUCACUUUACUUCUGCAUGGUGACCAACAUCCGGAGCUUAAUUACCUGACAGCCAGGAGAUAACAAAAAUGUCAUGCCUGAGUCCCUGAUAGCAACCCCAGAGGAGCUCCAGGUUUGAGGCAGCGCUGGCAGGACGUGGUCUAUCUGCCAUCUGAAGCCCUUCAUUGCCCGCCUGGCUGUGAAUCUCACCUCCUCUGUAGUGGAAAACAGGCUGAACAGAACUGGCAGGCAGGUAAGGGACAGCAAACCUUGCAGGGAGGGCCUAGUGCUGAAGCUAAGCCAGCCCUUUGAGUUCAAGCUCAAAGACAUGUGAUGCCAGCUUUGCAGGGGAGCUAAGAUUCUUCCGAGAAAAAGCAGAAUGAGAGAGAGAUAUGCAGCUGCAGUGGAGGACUUGGAAGAGAACAACGCCAGGUCCUGGAUCCUGCAAGAAUCUCCUCUGGAAAAGCAGGGGAGAGAAAAGCAAGGAAGGAAGCAGGGUCACCGCAAGUGUGGGAUUUGUCUUAUUAAAAUCUGAUACUGUGUGGCAGUUUGCUUCACUCUUGGUAUAAAAUGUCUGAGCUCCAUGUUAAAGUAAAUGUAAGUAAUAUAAAUCUGCCUUUCCUGAGGUGAAAAUAGAUCCAUAUUAUUUAAAAUAUGAACUGAGAUAGAUGACAGUUACAAACAUUAUACUUGUUCUUAUUAUAAUUCUUACUAAGCUCAAGGAAUAAAAACUGGGAUGAUGAAAAAGAA